UACGGAGAGUGCAAGCAUUAAUCGGAAUUAUUGGGCGUAAAGGGCGCGUAGGCGGGAGAAUAAGUCAGAUGUGAAAUUCCAAAGCUCAACUUUGGAGCUGCAUUUGAAACUAUAAUUCUAGAGGAUUGACGGGGAAAACGGAAUUCCACGUGUAGCGGUGAAAUGCGUAGAUAUCCGGAGGAACACCGGUGGCGAAGGCGGCAUCCUGGACCAAUUCUGACGCUGAGGAGCGAAAGCCAGGGGAGCAAACGGG
rnacentral:rRNA from 1 species